UGAGCUGUUGUUAGAUAGGUAAACCACGGAUUGCUUAUUGAAAAAGAUAGUAAGCCGUCCCUGGAAUAUCUUCCCUAACACGUGCUUCUAUUCGACUAUCUU
rnacentral:pre_miRNA from 1 species